rnacentral:lncRNA from 1 species
AAGAGUUGAAGGAACCCCAAAGGGUUGAAGGACCCCCAAAAGGUAGAAGGACCCCCAAUGGGUAGGAGGACCCCUAAGGGUAGAAAGACCCCAAAAGGGUAGAAGGACCCCCCAAAGGUAGAAAGAACCCCAAGGAUAGAAGGACCCCCAAAGGGUUGAGGGACCCCCAAAGGGUAGAAAGACCCCAAAAGGGUAGAAGGACCCCCAAAGGGUAGAAGGAGCCCGAAAGGGUAGAAGGACCUCCAGUGGUAGAAAGACCCCCCAAAGGUAGAAGGACCCCCAAAGAGUAGAAGGACCCCUAUAGGGUAGAAGGACCCCAAAGGUUUGAAGGAUCCCCAAAGAGUAGAAGGACUCCCCAAGGGUAGAAGGACCCCCAAAGGGUUGAGGGACCCUCAAAGGUUAGAAGGAUCCCCAAGAGUAGAAGGACUCCCCAAGGGUAGAAGGACCCCCAAAGGGUUGAGGGACCCUCAAAGGGUAGAAGGACUCCCAAAGGUUAGAAGGUCCCCCAAAGGGUUGAGGGACCCCCAAAGGGUAGAAGGACCCCCAAGGUUAGAAGGACCCCCAAUGGUAGAGGGACCCCCAAAGUGUUGAGGGACCCCCAAGGGUAGAAGGACCCCUAAGGGUAGAAGGACCCCCAAAAG